rnacentral:miRNA from 1 species
CGAACAAGAGCUCUGAGCAU